rnacentral:rRNA from 1 species
GUGCCUUAUACAUGCAAGUCGAGCGAACAGAUGGGAGCUUGCUCCCUGAUGUUAGCGGCGGACGGGUGAGUAACACGUGGGUAACCUGCCUGUAAGACUGGGAUAACUCCGGGAAACCGGGGCUAAUACCGGAUGGUUGUUUGAACCGCAUGGUUCAGACAUAAAAGGUGGCUUCGGCUACCACUUACAGAUGGACCCGCGGCGCAUUAGCUAGUUGGUGAGGUAACGGCUCACCAAGGCGACGAUGCGUAGCCGACCUGAGAGGGUGAUCGGCCACACUGGGACUGAGACACGGCCCAGACUCCUACGGGAGGCAGCAGUAGGGAAUCUUCCGCAAUGGACGAAAGUCUGACGGAGCAACGCCGCGUGAGUGAUGAAGGUUUUCGGAUCGUAAAGCUCUGUUGUUAGGGAAGAACAAGUGCCGUUCAAAUAGGGCGGCACCUUGACGGUACCUAACCAGAAAGCCACGGCUAACUACGUGCCAGCAGCCGCGGUAAUACGUAGGUGGCAAGCGUUGUCCGGAAUUAUUGGGCGUAAAGGGCUCGCAGGCGGUUUCUUAAGUCUGAUGUGAAAGCCCCCGGCUCAACCGGGGAGGGUCAUUGGAAACUGGGGGAACUUGAGUGCAGAAGAGGAGAGUGGAAUUCCACGUGUAGCGGUGAAAUGCGUAGAGAUGUGGAGGAACACCAGUGGCGAAGGCGACUCUCUGGUCUGUAACUGACGCUGAGGAGCGAAAGCGUGGGGAGCGAACAGGAUUAGAUACCCUGGUAGUCCACGCCGUAAACGAUGAGUGCUAAGUGUUA